AUUAUGUGACGCAGUCAGAGAUUCCUUUCUUUGGUCUACACGUGCUGACUCCAUUCCUGGGACAGUGUCCUGUGUAACUACCUGCAGACAUCCUGCCCCCAGAAUGCAUUCUUAAAAAUUAGUUGCAGAACACUAUGGAAAUGUGUUAUAAAGAACUAUCCUGCUGAGUGCCACAAUUGGUUUCACUUGUAUUACUUUUACUGAAGAUGCCAUAAAGCUUAACACAGGAGG